AGUGAACGCUGGCGGUAGGCCUAACACAUGCAAGUCGAACGGCAGCACAGAGGAGCUUGCUCCUUGGGUGGCGAGUGGCGGACGGGUGAGGAAUACAUCGGAAUCUACUCUGUCGUGGGGGAUAACGUAGGGAAACUUACGCUAAUACCGCAUACGACCUACGGGUGAAAGCAGGGGAUCUUCGGACCUUGCGCGAUUGAAUGAGCCGAUGUCGGAUUAGCUAGUUGGCGGGGUAAAGGCCCACCAAGGCGACGAUCCGUAGCUGGUCUGAGAGGAUGAACUGCCACACUGGAACGGAGACACGGGCCAGACUCCUACGGGAGGCAGCAGUGGGGAAUAUUGGACAAUGGGCGCAAGCCUGAUCCAGCCAUACCGCGUGGGUGAAGAAGGCCUUCGGGUUGUAAAGCCCUUUUGUUGGGAAAGAAAUCCAUCUGGUUAAUACCCGGGUGGGAUGACGGUACCCAAAGAAUAAGCACCGGCUAACUUCGUGCCAGCCGCCGCCGUAA
rnacentral:rRNA from 1 species